GAGGGUAUAGCGCUAGUGAUAGAGCACAUGCCUAGCAUGACAAGGUCCUGGGUUCAAUCCCUAGUAUCUUCA
rnacentral:tRNA from 1 species